UGAACCGCCACGCUUUGGUAGGGGUUCACUCUCACCAGGAGCAGCAGGAAGAGAUGGUCGCGGUCAAUGGUGGGGUGGACUUUACAGGGCAGCCAGCUGCUGACCAUCCACCUCUCCGGAGCAGCUUUUCUUCUAUUUGAAGGAUGAGCACGAUCAGACUGUCCAGCGAAUCCGGCUGAGGGACCCGGAACAGAUAGUGCCCGAUCUCCUCGUUGAGCCCCUGGCACAGGUGGGCCUGCAAGACUUCGUCUGGCCAGCCCAAGGUCUUGCAUUCGGAAGUACAGCGAGAUGAUGGACCUCACCAUGGCCAUGAUUUCUGCAGUCGAGGCCUCGGACGGCUCUUCAGGACGCCCCUGCUCUGCCAGCUCAGCCAGGCGCUGUCUGAAUCCCCCCUGUGAAGGAAUGGAGGUGGCCUUCCCUUGCACACCACCACCAGCAAGAUGAGGACCACGCCCUUGUGUUAGAUGCCCUGCUGGAGAGGAGGGCUGAGAAGCACCGAGACAGACCUCAAACCACUAUGGGGCCUGACCUCUCUUCUCUAAGCAGGACUGACUAAGAUUGCACCUCCCCGGCGGCCUCAGUGCCAGCAGGUCACCCCAGCUGGGGUCCACACUGGACUCAGGUUCCACCUUUCUGUGACUCCCAAGCAAAUGCAAGUGGUGUGCAGGCGAGACAGUGGCUUUCUCCUGGGUGGGAGCAGAUGCCUGGCCCAGGAUCGAAUAAAAAAGCCCAGGCUGAGGCUCACUGCCCCCCACUUGGGCAGUGAGUUGGUGGGCUCCACUUGCCAAGGCGAGGCCCGGCCCUGGCCUGCAUGGAUGGCACACCUGCCCAGAGAGGUGCAGGGCCCACGUAGGCUGACCUCAUGGCAGACCAGUGCCCAUGGCUCCUGUGUUGCUGGAUCUGACUUUCUGUAACUGAAAACCACCUCACACUCUUCCCUGGGCCGAGGGGCAGUGUCAGAGGACUUAGCUGUCAGCUCUGCACACUGGAUGAGAGGACUUUGAGAGGUUAAGUGAUUUGUCCAAAUCAGCCGGGAAGCAGGAUCCAGGAUUCCAACCCAGGUCUGUUGUGAGGAUCAAACAAGAUAAUGUAUGCUGUGGCAUGUGUGAACACUACGUGCCAGGCACAGGAGAAUGGAGGCCCCAUAGGGGGUCUACUGAGACUCUGUUAAUGAAGAUCUUAGCUGUGACCUGUGUGGGGAAUGAGCCACGAACCAACCAAUGGAAUCGAUUCCCUGGAGCUGGUUACCGAUGCGGAAAGAUGACCUCUCGCAGGUAACCUCUGUGGGUAAGGAGCUGGAGGCUCAUAUUCAAUACACUCAAUCCAGUGUAUGCAUUAUCUGGUGAUGAAGAUCUUGGUUGUCAUUUCCGUGGAUAAGGAACAAAGGGACUCAUAAUGACCAUAGGACUAUUCAUUUUCUAACAAACAAAAUCUUGGUGGUUAGCUCUGUGUGUAAAGGACAUAAGGGCAAAUGCUUUCUUUAUCCUUUGCAAAAUGAGCACCAUACAGCUGAUGAAUCAUUCUCUUAUUGUGAAGACUUCUGAGACUAAGGAGCAUAAAGCCUGAUAGUGACCAUAGGAUUCAAUCAUUUAAUAAAGAAUUGUUACCAUGAGCAAGGAACACUCAUAUAAAAUGAAAAUACUCUGUCAUAUUUGACUAUUAUCUCAUGGUGAUGAUCUUGCCUUUUACCUCUUUGGGUAAAGACAGAAGAUGCCAGUACUGGAACUACUGAGGGGAGAACAUAAGAAAUGGAGAAUUUGGCUUUUUCCUAGUGUGUGAUUGAAUGUAGUAUGUUAAAUGGAAGAGGCCCAAACAUGGACCGUUGGCUUAUGAAAUGGAUAUGAUGCAAGGAAAUGGACUAAUUCAUAUUUGCAGUUUUAAGGUGCAUUGCACAGAGAGCUAGUUCUCUAGCUCUGUGGGAAGUGAAUUCUCUUGGACGUACUCAUAUCUUCAAGGAUCCUGGUUUUAUUUUCCUAGUUCGUGGACAUUGAUUGUAUUAUUAUUAAUGAAUCAAUGAGUAAGUCAAGAACAAUAUAUUAAAUAAAGGCACAGAAUACCAAGUCUGAACCAAUGAUGAGCAGUGUGGGGCAUCUGAAUAAAAUACUUGAUUAAACCCAGUUGGUAACUCUGAUUUCCACUGUAUCUCUGGGAAAUGUGCUCACAUUACCCGUAUCCAAGGAUUGUGACCUCAAGCUUUUGUUUUCUUGCUCAUGAAUAUGGACUGUACUGUUACAAGUAAAUCAUAAGUAAAGUAUAAAUAAAGAGGAGUGCUAUACCUUAUCCAGUAAUAAAAGGAGCUAAUGUACCAGGGAUUACUGUUAAUAUGUUUCUGAAAUUUUGAGUUCAAGUAAAAUGGACUAAGACUGCUCCCCCUAUGAGAGCACCUAGAUAGGGAACGUGAAUGGCAGUGUUGUUGUUCUGGGUUGGUAGUGAGUUGAUGGCAUGUCUUAUUUUUAAAAAGGGACAAAAAUGUUACGUAAUUGCAUAAUAAUAAUUAUUAGUUAAAUUAAUAAUACAAGAAAUGAUAAACAUAUUAGUAUAAAAUUACUUUAAUAAACAAUAAUAUAAUGAAACAAAAAGAAGACAUGAUUAGAUCUUUAUGGAAGCAUGGAGAAUAAGCAUGAACAUCAAAAUCAUAAAUAUAGUAAUUGCACAUCCUUGUGUUCACCGAUUUUUAUUUAAAGAGAAAAAUGUGAAUUGUAUUUUGUUGAUAUCUGUGAAUAAUAAGCAAAAGGAUAGAUUGUAGAUUUAGUGUUACUCAAUGUCCUUAGGGUUCACCAAUAAAGGUGCUAUUUUUAUAGGUGAGUAAAAGAAUAAUGUCAUAUCUCAACCCAUUAUUUAAGAGAGUGUAAACCUUGGGCCACUGAGGAGCACACAUAAUACAUGGAGCGUAAAUAGUCCUGUCCUACCCUCUUGAAGUCACUUAAAUAAAAGGUGCCUUCCUCUUUGGGAAAGGAUCAGAUAAACCUCACUCUGGAAACACAUCUUGCUAUUAAUACUUACAUUGAGUAAUUAAAAACAAAAAUUCAGUUCCUCAGUAACACUGGCCACAUUUCAAGCUGCAUGUGGCCAGUGGCUACCAUAUUGGGCAGAGCUAACAGAGAGCUUUUCCGUCACUGCAGGAAGUUCCGUCAGUGCCGAUGACGCCGAGAUACAAGGUUGCAUGGAUAGUAUUUAGUUUUGGGUAGCAGAUGGCUCUACCGUUUUGUGUUUUCUGUGGAAAAAAAAGGUAGAUAAUUAAGUUACCCUUAGAGUUGUUAAAUAAGAAAAUAAAUAAAUUGAGAAAUACAUGAAUUAAAGUACAACACGGCUCAUUGGUCAGAUUGUUCUGCAAAACAAGAAUUUAAAUUCAUCCCAUUUUGCUAAAGUUUUCCUUAUUAUAAAUUAUCUGACAUUUUUGUUAUUUGGUAUGGGUAAAUAGACAUAUUAAUAAUAGUUAUAGUUCCUGUGUUGGGUGGUAAAUUAUAAAAGGUCUUUAUUAUUUCACACUGAAAAUUAAGUAAGUGGGUAGAUGAAAAGGAUAUCACUAUUGGAUGAAUGGUGAAAAUGUAACAAACUUGUUUCUGAUUAAUCUAGUAAUGUAAUACUGACUUCUGCUUAAAAAUCUAAAUUUAUACUUUUCAUUCUUUUGAAAUUCUACCCCUUCUUCCUGAAUGAGCAGUCCACAUUGCAUGCAUUGUCCAGUGAUGAAGAUCUUGACUGUUAUUUCUGUGGGUAAAAAGCAGUGUAAUACUCAAAGUUUCUGUUCCCGGUUUAUAUACUAGUUCAUGUGUGGUCAUUGAAGUAGUUCAAUAGAAUAAAAGACUAUAUACACAAAAAUAAAAUCCAAGAACGCUAAGUAUGGGCCAGUAGUGGGAAUGUGUUAUGGGCCAAGGAGUAGAAUCAAAAAGAUGGAAGGCACUGAACUAAUUUUCAGAGCUGUUUGCUAUUCCAUAUCAUUCUUGCAGCAGAGUUAAUUUAAGCAUUUCCAUAUCUGUAUAGCUUCGGGCUAUUAGCUGUUCAGAGGAAGCUUUUAGAAGGUGAAACGUCUUGUCUGUGCUCUGGAUGUGGGAUACUACUGUGGUUUUUGGUUUCUCAUUACCUCAUGUUUAAAACUGGACCAAGUAAAUAAACAAGGCCCAAUCAUGGACCAUUGUUUAUACUGAAAUCUAGUCUGAAAGAUCUGUGAGAAAUCAGUCUUGAGGCAGGUCAUAACUACAUCAAGGAUUUGGAGUUCAUACUAAACGGGGAAAUGAAGGUAGAAAUGAAUGAAGGAAACGAGUGCCAAGCCCGGACCAAUGAUGAGAUUGGAGGGUGUCUGAAUCAAAAAUUUUGAUUAAAGCCAUCUGUACUCUGAGGUCCAUUAUUAAAAAGUGGCUCCUUUUUUCCUCUAUGGAAAUGAACUUAAUGCAGAAGUUCAGAACUUCCAGGUGUCUUGAUCAUGGCCAUACACAUUUCGUGGCUAUAGAUGGAAUUUUUAUAAGUAAAAAAUGCAUGAAUGAAUGAAGAAAUGUAAAAAUGGGCUAAUACAAAGAAAGCUGGGCACAGACCAACUAUUAGAGUAUGUAAGGAAACAGGGUUUGUAAUUGCACAUUCUGUCAUGCUGAAUUCUAGUUCAUAAUUCCUGUAAUGAAUUCAUAAUACUCAUAAAGGCUGUUGCCCCGUUUUAGAAGGAGUAUGUAGAGAGAUGCAUGUAAGAUUCAGUAGUAUUAUUCGAGGUAGAUGGUUGGCUGCUGGCUGGUUGUUUUUAUUUAGAGAAGGGAAAAUUACAUAAGUGACUAAUUUGUUAAAUAGCUGUUUAAUUGGAAAAAGAAUGAACAUAGUUCAUCUUGAGAAGGUACUUUAUGAAAGGAGUUAUUUUUAAUCGACCUCUGUUCACUGAAUUUUAUUAAAAACAAAGAAAAGCAUCUAGUUUUUAAAUCUCUGGGUAACAACACAAUAUUAUUCAAGUUUCCUGUCUGAUCUUAGCUAAUUCCCAGAUCCUGAUGAAUUGUUACAUAUGAAUAGAUUAAGUCAAAAUCACAGUUCAUAGUUUAAAAGGAGGCAAAACAUGGUCCAUUAAGCAGCAAGAAUAAUGAUUAGUCUUUGUUUAUACUAUUGAUCCUUUCUUCCUAGCUUGAAUGUGGGCAGAGAGCCAUUUGCACACGAAGAGUCUUUCUACUUUAGGAUGUUGGCUUUGCCAUUGUGUGUGUGUGUCUUAGUAUAUUUGAAUAUAUGAUCUAAUAUUCCCUGAUUCAAUCCAUAAAUGAAUAAAACAAUGAGCAAUUUAAUUAAUAUAUGAGUAAGGUCAAGCAUAGAUCUUGAUGAGAAUAUGCCAUGAAUCACAAAUUUGAAUUCAUCCAAUUCUACACAUACUGAGUCCAUUUAAAAAAGUAUUGUCUAGGCUCCUGCCUAUGUGGGUAAGGGUCUAUAGACAGAUUAUGUACAAUAGUCAUAUAGUCAGAGUUCAUAUUUUUGAGUGAUGAAUUCAACAGUGUUCAUUGUAUUAUUUAAAAUCAAUAGUUAAAUCAAGAAAUAAGGAGUAAUGAUUUUGGGUCAAUGAUGAAAAUGAGAUUUGAAUCAACUUCAUGAUUAACCUAGUACCACGCAACUAAUGUCCUUUUUAUCACUCUAAAUCUGGACUGUUCAUUCUUUUGAAUAUUGGCAUUUAACUUUAUAGAAUGAAGACCAGGGCUGCUUUAGCCAGACUGCUGAUGGAAGUCUUGGCCUGUACCUCUGUGGGUACGGAACCUACCUGAUGAAAGUAAAUCAUAGUCAACAGAUCUUGUCAAUUGGGGUAAAUUUUUCAUUAGUGUUCACUGAGUUAUUGAAGUUAAACCAUAUGGAGACCGAUGACAUGAAUGUGUUGUGAAUUGAAGAUUAUGGCUAAUCCAGUUCAACAGAGUUGUGGUUAAAAAUAAGACAGAAGACAUUUUUUUAUUUUCAGAGCUGACAAAUAAUCCAUAUUAUUUUUGCACUGAAGAUGUAUACAUUUAUCUAGUAAUAAAAUUUAGUGCUGCACAUUAUUCAGGGUGGCUUCCCCUAACUGCACAUAUUUAUUUAAAUUCAAAAUAAUUAAAGUGAAGUGAAUUUUAAGUUCAGUUUCUCAAGUGCCCUAGCCACAUUUCAGGUCCGUAGUAGCUACAUGUGGCUAAUGGUGACCUGUUGGCAAGUGCAGUGAUAGCCCAUUCACCUCUUCAUGCGGAGGUCUGUGGACAGCUCCCCGACGAGGGGUGUACAUGGAAAGAUGGAAGACAGUUGCAGUAGGAUGCAUAAGAAGCAAGGGUGUUGACUGAUCCAUACAGACCUCCCUGAGGGCCACGGCGGAAGAGAUCUAGUCUACUGAGAAAAGAUCCAGUUAGUGGCAAAAGAGUCUGUAAACAGAUCUUGGUCAUAUUCAGGGAUCUUUUUAAAAUUCAUGGCUAUUGAGUUUAUUACCCAUAGUGGAUCAAUGAUUGGAUCAAUAAACAAAGGUAUAAAUGAAGAAAAAGAUUGCUUAGCCUGGAUCAAUGAUGAGUACCCUGGGGUGUCUGAAAUCAAGGAUUUUGAUUAAACCCUGUGACUCUGAGGUCCACUACAAGAAAAUUCCUCUUUGUUAUCUCUAUGGGAAAUGAGCCCAUUCCAGAAGUUGAAAAUAUUCAGGAGUUUGUUCCUGGGCUUCUGAGUAUUGUAUUUUCAGUAAAUCAAUGUGUGAAUAAAUCAAGAAAUGUCUAAAUGAAUAAAGACAACAUAGGCUGUUCCUAGUCCGAAUAUGAGAGUAUAUAAUGUAAUAUAAAAAUCAUUAUUAAUAUAUUUUUGAAGCACUGAGUCCCAGUAAAAUAAACUGAUUAAAGCUGAUCCUUUUGGGUAAAAAGCAUUUAGGUAAAUAGGUGUAAGAGCCCAUGUUGUUUUUCAGUGUGUUGGGUUGUUGUUUUUUGUUUUAUUCAGAGAAGGGCAAAACAUUUACCUUAAUUAAUUAUUUAUUAAAUAACUACAUAAUUGAGAGAGGGCUUACACAGAGAUUUAAUAUUGAGAAUGUGUCACAUGACCAGCUAUAAUUAAUCCAAUGAUUGUCACUCUUUUUUUAAUGAAAAAAAAAAGACUCACCUGCUUUUUUCUGAGCCUCUGGAGCAUGUGGACAGGCAUGAUAUUGUCCUGUUUCUGUUAGUCGUAAAUGUUAAUGAUAUUAUUAUAAAUGUGUAAAACAAUGUUAGUAUUCUAAUGAGUUGUUUGAAAGAAGACAAAGCAUGGGCCAAAGAGGAGCAUGUGUUAGGAGACAAAGGAGAAUGAUUAAUCCAGUGUUAUAGACCAUUGUUCAUUUUUGGAAUGUCUUAAAUUUUCCAAAAUCUCACAUUUCUGGAAUAGUGAAUACAUUUAGAUAGGACUUUUCUUCCUGGCUUAUUGUUGCAAUUUCUUUCAAAAGUGGAAGACAAGUGAGUCCAUGUGUGAUUACAUAUACACACAUAUAUGUACAGGAGGAUCAAGCUUGGACAGUUGCUGUGAAUGUGCUUGAAUCUAGAAUUCUAAGUAACCAAGUUCUUUCUAAGCAAAAUUCAUUCAGAAAGAAGAUAAAGCUCUUAUCUGGCUGGGUAUAAAUGGAUAUGUGUCAUAGUGAUAGGCCUUAUUCUUUUGUCUGGUGUUAGUUUCAGAGGUGUUCACUUCAUCAGUUAAAUUUAAUAUUUGAAUCAAUAAGUAUGCCAUUCAGAGUUUUAAUAUACAAGGUUUACUCCUAAUCAAUCCAUUUUGACUGAACUCAAUUAGAGCCAUCUGAAUCUAGGCUGCUCUAUCUAUCUAAUUUAAAACGGUCUAUCUGUUUUUAUAUUUCCUUUGUACUCAACAGAACAGAUGCACAGUGAUUCAGUUAAGGAUUGUAGCAACUUACGUAAGUAAUGGUCAAAGUAAUUGCUUCUGGUUUGGUGGCUUGUCACGGGUGUUGGUGUUGACUCUGUUAUUGAAAGGGAAUAAAUGGCUAUGUAUACAAAUAAAAUGAAUGAGGUUGUGUGUGGCCAAUUCACUACAUCUGUGUUCAAUUAAGGAGAAAAAGGAAGACCAUUUUAUUCAUUUUCAGUUAAUUAUUUGAUUAAUUAAUGUAAAAUGUACUAUUCAAUUUUAGUUUUGAGUCACAAUUGAUUUAAACCUCCCUCUAUUUAUAAAGACAUAGUUUAGUCACAUUCAAAUAGUAAAAUGGGGUUAAUAUGACGUAUUGCAUUAAUCUAUAUAGGGAACAUCAUUGUGGCCAAUUAAUGAAUAUCUAUAUAUAUAAUCAGUGGGAAGUAAUUCGUAGAGAAAUGUUAGAGAUAGUCAAGGAUCUUGUUUGAAGUUUUUAUGAUCUCUUGGCAUUUAUUUUAUUAGCAAAUUGAUGAAUUAAUCAAUAAUAACAUGUAGACAUGAUCGAUAAUGAGGGCCAAUCCCAGACCAAUGAUGAUGCCUAGUGGAGUAUCAGUCACGAAUGAUGAUACCAUGUGUUUGGAACUCUGAGGUCCAGCACAUAAGAAAUACAGUCUAUACAUUUUGUUGGAAUGAUUGUAUGGACAGAUACUAGGAAUUAUGGAUUUUGUUUUUAGUUUUUGUGUCCAUGGGAUUAGAUUCUAUUAUUAUAAAUGGAUCAAUGAAAGAAUCAAAUAACAAACAUAUAAAUAAAUAAAGAGGAUGCAGCAUUGUCCAAUGGACAAUGCCUGGCGAGGCCAGAUUCGAUAUAAAUAUAUUAGUUAAUAUUAAUAUAUAAAAACAGUGAACCCCAUUAAGAAAUAAAUAUCUUAGAGGUAUUACAUCUUGGGCCAAGGAUGGUAUGUACAGUAUAAAGAGCAGAUCAUGUUCUUAUUUGGUCAGGGCCUUGUUCAGCAUUGAGGUCUUUUACUAUAGUAAUCCUUAAAUGACUAAUAAAAUGCAAGUAGAAAUGCAAGGAUACCUGGAGAAGAUGUGUCCAUCUUUUUAUCACCUGUUCUGCUUUGUACCCUCAAUGUGUGCUCCCAGCCCGCUGAGCAGCUUGUGGUCGCGAGCUCUGUGGUUGCCUCUGUGUGCCUGGAGCAUAGAGACCAGGGUGGAUACAUCCAGGUUGAUUCAAGCAUCAUGCCUUGGUCAGAGAUCUCUGUGCCCAUCCGGGUUCGGAAACCAAUGUGGAAAGCACGGAUCCGCAGGGAGCAUCUCAGGCUUGUUAUCACCCGCUCUGCUCUGUAUAGCCUCAGAAUGGACACACCUGGACUUAUUUAAGCACUGGCUGUGAUCAGAAGCUCCGUGGAUACCCCUGUGUAAGAGCUUGGAGACCAGUAAAGCGUCUGAAGCAUCUGCCGUGCUCGGGAGCUCCCGGCUGCCUCCGUAGGAGCGUUGAGUGCAGGAUCCUGUGGAUCGGUGUUAUCAGGAAUAUACAAGGAUGUUGUUCUUAUAAUUCUGGAUUCAUGGAUCUCUAUGUUAUUAAUAUAAGUGGAUCAAUGACAGAACCAAUAAACAAAUACAUAAAUAAAUGAGGGAAGAAUCAGCUCUGAAUACAGGUGGUGAGGCAAGAAGUACUAUUAAUGUAAACUGAAGAAACUCAUGUAUAUUAAGAAAUAAAUGGACCAGGGGUGUUACCUCUUUUUCUAAGGAUCAUCUAGACACUGAAACGGAAUCGACACACUCAAGCUGAUGAAGCCAUUUUCCACGGUCGGGAGCUUAUGGUCCCUGUGUGUGAAGAGCGUAGAGACAAAUAUGCUCCAAGCAGGCUUCAGCUCCUGCCGUGACCGAGGUUGUCCCGUUGCCUCCGAAUCAGGAAAGAGACCAAGAAUGGACGCACUUGAGCUGAUUUAAACAUGUCCCGGGGUCACCAGGUCUGUGAUUGCCAAUCCACGUGUCAGGAGCACAGAGACCAGCGAGAAGUUAAAUAAAUAUUUUCCCAAAUUGCUAAUUCCUUAAAUGACCCAUGAAAUGAAAUGGAAUGAAAGAACCAAUGGAGAUAAGUCCUCAACCUCUUUUGCCCUGUCGUAAUGGACUUCCUUGAGCUGAUUUCUCCGUGAUCACAAACUCUACGGUUGCAUAUUUGUGUUAGAGGAUGGAGACCAAUUAUACAUGUGUGAGAGCAUGGAGAUCAAUGUUUUCCUCAAAUGUUUCUUAACUGAUGAAGAUGUAAGUGUUCUUCAUUAUGAGGAAAGAGAAUUUCCUCAUUUCAUUAAGAGGAAAGUGGGAGAUAAUAGAUGCUGGAGCUGAUUUCAGCUUCUGUCACGAUCGAGGUUGUCGUGUCGCCUCUGCCAGGAAGGAGACGGUUUCUUGAGAAUGGAUGCACUUGAGGUGAUUAAAGCAUCUUCCACGAUCACGAGCUUUAUGGUUACGUCUGUGCAUUAGGAGCAGGAAGACUAAUAAUGGACACACUUGAGCUGCUUAAACGUAUUCCGUGGGCACGAGCUCUAUGGUUGCAUCUGUGUGUUAGGAACUUGGAUACCAGUUGAAUUAAUCAGCAAACAAAUAUAGAUGACAGUAGAGAAAAAGAGCCAGUCCUGGACCAGUGAUGAUGACUGAUGGCAUAUGAGUCAAAUACAACGAAUACUACGUGCCUGGAACUCUGAGGUCCAACGUAAGACAGAUCUGCCCCCUGUGGUUGCAGUGAUCCUGUGCAGAUACCAGUGUAUGCAAGGGUCUUGUUUUGUUCUUUGUUUCCGUUCAUUUUUAUUCUACAAAUAUAAUCAAAUCAGUUAAUAGAUCAAUGAAUAUAUUAGAAAAAAAUAUAAGGUAAAGCAUUGUCUAAUUAUAAGAAAAGGUGGUGAGUUAAAUACUAUUACUAUAUAUUGCAAUGAAUGAAAGUAAAUGAUACAAGGAUGCUUUUACUUUGGGUUCAUGGGUUUAGAUUUAUUAUUAUAAAUGGCUCAAUGAUAGAACUAUUAAAGGUAUAUGAGUAACAGAUAAAAGAGUGAAGCAUUGUCCAACUUUAGACAUAUGUGGUGAAAGGGAAGAAAUAUUAAUAAAAAUUGCAAACCCUGAUGCCCACUGAGAAAUAAACAGAUCAGGGUGUCACUUCUUUGGCCAAGGAUCAUAUAGACAUAAAUAACUAACAGUAAGUUUUAUUCUGGGUUAAUCUCAAGUUUGAGGCUUUUUGUGAAGAGCAAAAUAUUUUACAUCAUGAAAAUUUUAUAAAUUUCUAAAUGACUGAAUAAAUAAAAUGUGGAAAGCAAGACUCAGUGGGGAUAAAACUGGUAUUUAUUUACUAACUUUUUUGCAUCAUCAACUGUGCUUUGUACUUCUCAAAAUGAACACGCUCGAGCUGAUGAAGCAUUGUUCCACGGGUCGAGCUCUGUGAUGGCGUCUGUGUGCCGGAAGCAGAGACCCACAAUGGAUGCACUUGAGCAGAUUUAAAUAUUUCCCAUGGUCACAAGCUCUGUGGUUGCCCCUCUAUAUGUGUAUCAGGAGGAUAGAGAUUCAUAAUGGACAAAUUCCACCUGCUGCAUGGAUCCUUCCUGAUCAAGAGCCCGAGGAAUGGACACACUCGAGCUGAUCACACUGUCUUUCAAAGUCACCCCCUGCCUGGUGGCGUCUCCGCUGUAAGAGCAGACACCAGUGUGAACAGUAGCCAAAGUUCUCCUCUUGGUUGGGCCAUUUACUUAAGGAGUCAUCGCAUUUGAGCUGAUUUAAGCAUCCCCAUGGGCAGGAGCUCUGUGGUUGCAUCUGUGCGUUGUGAGCAUGGAGAGCUGUGGCUGACCAGUGUCCUCAUGGUUCCAAACUCUGUGGUUGCCUCUGUAUACCAGGAGGAUGAAUUAAUGAUCAAGGGGGAGAAUGUCUCCACUAUUUCUAUCACCUGCUCUGCCCUGUAGUCCUCAGAAUGGGCACCCCGGACCUCACGGUUCCUUCCUUGGUCAAGAGCCCUCGGGUGCAUCUGAGUUUUAGGAGCCAGGAGACCAGUGUGGACACACUCACGCUGAUCACACAGUCUCUCAAGGUCACCCACUCUGGUUGCAUUUCUGUUGUAGGAGCAGAGACCAAUAACAGAUGUUUCAGCUGAUCUCAUCUAUUCUGAUCAAGAUCGUCAUGUUCCCUUUGUGUUAGAAAAGAGACCAAGAGUGGACCAAGCCUUGUCCCUGGUGUCGAUGUCCAUGACUGCAUCUGUGUACUAGGGGCACAAAGACCAAUAAUGGAUGCAUUUGAGUUGAUUAAAGUAUCUUCCACAGUCAUGAGCUGGAUGGGGCCCUUUAUAGAAGAAGCAGAUGGAGGUUAAGGAUCAAUGGAGAGAAUGUCUCAACUAUUUCUGUCUUCUGCUCUGCCCUGCACUCCUCAGAAUGGACACCCCGGACCUCACUUAAGGAUUCUUCCUUGGUCAAGAGCCCUUGGGUGCAUCUGUGUUUUAGGAGCCUGGAGACCAAUGUGAGUAUAAUCAAAGCUCUUGUCUUGGGUAGUAUAAGAGUAUUCAUUGUAUUAAUAAAAAAUAUGAAAUACAGUCAAAGAGGGCCAACUGUGUCCCACUGAUAAAUCCUGAAUUAACAGGAAGCAUCGUAUUGAUUAAAGCAUAUGUGAAAACUGGAGGUAAUGACAGAGAUGCGUUGAUGGGGGAAUGAUUGUACAUACAUAUUAGAGUAUCAAAGUAUUGUAGAGCUUUGUGACUAAUAGGGUUUUAAAAUUAUAAUUAGUGAAUGAAUGCAUUAAUCAAUGAACAAUGUAGAAAUGAAUGAAGCGAAAGCAGUCUUUUCUGGAUCGAUGAUGACGACUGCCAGCAUAUGGGUCAUGAUGACGAAUAAUGUGUGUCUGGAACUCUGACGUCCAACACAGAAGAAAUGUGGUCUUUCUCUUCAUGCAUUUUCACUUGUUAUUAUAAUUGAAUCAGUGAAAUAUCAAUGAAGAAAUGCAUAUUAACGAAAGACGAAUUGUAGAAGUCUUGUCCAAUUUAAAAAAUAAGUGGUAAGGCAAGAAAUUCAA